GCGUUUCAUCUGAGCACAAUAGCACUGUGCCCUGACAAAGGUCUUACAGGUUUUAAUUCCACGGAAGGAAACACCGUCCAUCUCUCAGGCCUGUCUCUCAGGCAGCACUACCUCGGAAGGAGUGGAUUCUUUCCAGCCAGUCUGUCCCUGGACUCCAAGGCUUUUUGUUUGCACAAAAUGGAGUUUGAUGAAGAGGCUUCCCUUGGUGGGAAUGGAACACCAGGAAGAGGCCAGAACCCACCCAGGGUGAAGUGACAAGCGAGGAGACAGACAUGAAGAUGGAAAUGGCACUGGGUGGCUAGCGGAGGCACAGGCCAGGACAGGCAGGAAGCAAUGGAAUGACUUUCUGGGCUGAACAGGUGGACAGCCAUGAUGGUGGUGGCUCCAGGUUCCAGGCAUAAGGGCCAUGACACCUCUGACAGCAUGUACCGCCUGUGUGUGUUCCCUUGUUCAUGGCCUUCACCAGCCCAACAAGGGCACCCUACCACCUCCUUCUUUGUCCCCAGAAAUGGUCACACCAAACAAUGUU